rnacentral:lncRNA from 1 species
CAAGAGGAAAGCUAUGCAAGCAACAACAACUCGUCUGAUCAACAGAAUUUGGGGAGAGUUUUACUCCAAUUACUCUCCAGAGGAACCCGUGCAGGCAGUUGGUGCAGAAAACGAGGAGGAAGAGGUUGAAGAGGAGGGUGAAAUUGAAGAAGAUGACGCAGAGGAAACUGUUCCAGAACCUGUUGAGGAGGUUGAAAAGUCUCAUACCCCUUUGAAGAAAAUUCGAGGCGUUUCUGGUAAAACGGAAUCAAGUUGGAGUGGCGAGAGUCUAGGAAAAACUUCUGCUGGUGAGCCUCUCUAUCGACAAGCCCUCGUUGGAGAAGAAAUUGUGGCUGUAGGUGGUGCUGUCGUGUUGGAAGAUGAUGGAAACGAGGUCAUCUAUUUUGUGGAGUACAUGUUUGAAAAAUCAAACAACUGCAAAAUGCUUCAUGGAAGACUCUUACAGAGAGGAUGUGACACUGUUCUGGGUAAUGCUGCUAACGAGAGGGAACUAUUCCUGACCAAUGAAUGCAAGACUGUAUCGCUUAAGGAGAUAAAAGGAACGGUCAGUUUUGAGAUUCGUUCAAGGCCAUGGGGGCAUCAGUUUAGAAAAGAGAACACCACCGCGGACAAGCUUGACCGGGCGAGAGCAGAGGAACGAAAAACGAAAGACUUGCCUACGGAAUACUUCUGCAAGAGUUUAUAUUCGCCUGAGAGAGGGGGUUUCUUUAGCCUUCCAUUAAAUGAUAUGGGCUGUGCAUCUGGAACCUGCAGUUCAUGUAGGAUAAGAGAAGAUGAAGAGAAGAAGACAGAGAUCAAACUCAACUCUUCAAAGACGGGGUUUUCGUGUAAUGGGGUUGACUAUUCCGUUGAUGAUUAUGUCUACGUAAAGCCAGAAGAUAUAGAUGGAUCGAAGGAGGCUAAUGGGAGAUUUAAGUCUGGUCGUAACAUUGGCUUACGACCAUUCGUUGUUUGUCAAAUACUGGAGAUCAUCGUCCUAAAAGAAUCUAGAAAGGCUUCCUUUGAGGUUAAAGUGAGAAGGCUUUAUAGGCCUGAGGAUGUUUCUGACGAAAAGGCCUAUGCGUCAGAUAUCCAAGAGGUAUAUAGCGAUGUUCAAAUUAAGUUGCUUUGCUGGUUUCUUCAUUUGUGUUUAUUACAAUCUUUUUAACUCUUUUUUUUUUUCUUCUUUUUUUGGAAUUUGUUUUAGUUGUAUUACAGCGAGGACACAGAUGUUCUCCAACCAGAAGCUCUAGAGGGAAGAUGUGAAGUAAGGAAGAAAAUUGAUAUGCCCUCACGCCGUGAGUAUCCAAUAUCAGAUAAUAUCUUCUUCUGUGAACAGAUCUAUGACCCGUCCAAAGGUUCUCUCAAGCAGGUACAUAUUUUUCUAAAAUCAUAUAAUAGGUGUUCAUAUAACUCAUUUGUUAUGAUUAUUGCUGUUUCCGAUACAAAGUUGAAGUGUUUCUUUGAUCUGACCUGUAAACAGUUGCCCGUCAAUAUCAAGCCGAAGUACACUACUGUUAAGGACGAGGCACUUUUAAGAAAGAGAAAGGGGAAGGGGUUAGUGACUGAAACUGAUUCUGUGACUGACAAGCCUGAAGAGGUAUCUAAAGAGACGCGUCUUGCUACACUAGAUAUUUUCGCUGGUUGUGGUGGACUGUCUCAGGGACUUGAACAGGCAGGUAUGUAUUAUCUCCAGUAAACGCUUCUUUAUCAACCAUAAAACCCUAGAACUAGUUGGAUUCAUGGGCAUGCUUUUUAUGUACAAGGUGUCUCGGCAACAAAGUGGGCGAUAGAGUAUGAAGAGCCAGCUGGGAAGGCUUUUAGAAAAAACCAUCCCGAAACAACAGUUUUUGUUGACAACUGCAAUGUAAUUCUUAGGUAAGUAGCCGACAAAGAUAAAACACUUUCUCUUCCAAUGUGGCUAUUUUCUGUGUUGAGAUCUGUUGUUUGUAAUUAUCUAUAGGGCUAUAAUGGAGAAAUGUGGAGAUCAGGAUGAAUGUAUCUCUACUAAAGAAGCUAAUGAACUCGCUGAGAAACUUGAUGAAGACCAGAAACGUACGCUGCCACUGCCCGGCCAAGUGGAUUUCAUCAAUGGAGGCCCUCCAUGCCAGGUAUAUGUUCUGGUCUUUACAAUUGUCGUUGAAUAAGUGAAGAAAAGGUGUUAACCAGUGCAAUUUUUCAGGGAUUCUCCGGUAUGAAUCGGUUCAACCAAAGCUCUUGGAGCAAAGUUCAGUGUGAAAUGAUAUUGGCAUUCUUGUCAUUUGCUGAUUAUUUCCGGCCAAGAUACUUUCUCCUGGAGAACGUGAGGACCUUUGUGUCAUUCAAUAAAGGGCAGACGUUCCAACUUACUCUGGCUUCUCUUCUCGAAAUGGGUUACCAGGUGACACUCGUGCUCUGUAUUUUCCACAUAUGAAUGCUCCCGAGUAGUUUAGAAUGUGAAUUUGACAUGUGUGAAUAUGAUGUGAUGUGUGGUAGGUGAGAUUUGGGAUCUUGGAGGCAGGUGCAUAUGGGGUUUCCCAAUCUCGCAAAAGAGCUUUCAUCUGGGCAGCUGCACCAGAUGAGGUUCUCCCCGAAUGGCCUGAGCCGAUGCAUGUCUUUGGUGUUCCUGAGUUGAAAAUCUCGCUGUCUAAAGGUGUACAUUACGCUGCUGUUCGCAGUACUCAAUACGGUGCACCUUUCCGCCCAAUCACAGUGAGAGACACAAUUGGCGAUCUUCCAUCAGUAGUUAACGGAGAAUCCAACACGAAGAGAGAGGUAUGAUGAUGUCACACAUGAGGAGAAAAAAGUAUCAACAUGUAGGAAACUCAUAUGAUUCUUUUAUCUUGCAGUAUAAAGCUCAACCAAUCUCGUGGUUUCAAAAGGAGAUAAGAGGAGACAAUAUUGCUCUCACUGAUCACAUCUGCAAAGAGAUGAACGAACUAAACCUCAUUAGAUGUAAGAAAAUCCCAAAGAGGCCAGGGGCUGAUUGGCGUGACCUCCCAGAAGAAAAGGUCAGAGUCUUUUGUAUUAUCACACUGUAAAUCAAAGGAAUAGUUCAGUGACGUUAAAUGCUACAUCUUGUUUACCCUUUUUUUUCAGGUGACGUUAUCAAAAGGGCAAGUGGUAGAUUUGAUACCAUGGUGUCUGCCAAACACUGCGAAGCGACACAACCAGUGGAAAGGACUGUUUGGGAGAUUAGAUUGGGAAGGCAACUUUCCAACAUCAAUCACUGAUCCUCAGCCGAUGGGUAAGGUUGGGAUGUGCUUCCAUCCUGACCAAGACAGGAUUAUCACUGUCCGUGAAUGCGCCCGGUCACAGGUAUAUAGAUAUUAUGUUCCUAGUCAAGACGGAAGCUUUUGAUUUGUUCCUAAAGUCUAAGUAAUGAAAUUGAUUGGUUGUAUUAUAAAAAAUUGUGGCAGGGGUUUCCGGACAGCUAUGUGUUUCAAGGGAACAUAAUACACAAGCAUAGGCAGAUUGGGAAUGCAGUGCCUCCACCUUUGGCCUUUGCUCUUGGUCGGAAGCUCAAAGAAGCGGUUCAACUCAAGAAGGUCACCAAAACAAACUAGAUUUGUGUUUCCUUUUAUUUUUUGUUUUCGCAAACGAUUAGAACUUUGUCAAACACGGUUAAGUCACUGUAAUAUUCAGCCUCUUGAACUAUUUAGACAUCUACUCAGAUAAGUUGAAGAAAAGAGCUUUGCUUUGCUUCAGUGCACAUUCCUUUUAUGUCGUCUGUUUGAAUUGAUAUAAUAAUACAUGCUGUUUUAUCACAUUUCUAUGUACCUAACUUCAUUAAUUACCUGUUGCGGCUUUGAUCAUAUUCGAUCACAAACUUAAUAUAUAAACUAGAUUUUGACCCGCGCGGUUGCGCAGAAAUAUUUAUAUUUAUAUUUAUAAUUUUAGCAUCAUUUAAAAUUAUAAUUUAUUUUUCAAAAUUAAAAUUUUAUGGUUUGAUGAUAUUUUGUAAAUUUUGGUUUACGUCAAAGUUGUACUCUUGAUUUUUCGGUUUGGUUGUGGAUUUUGAGUUUUGGUUAUAGAAGUAUAAUAAUAGUUUGAUUAUUUAUAAAUUUAAAGUUUGGUUUGUUUUGGGUUUCGUUAUUUAGUUUUUGGCUUUGUUCAAAUAACAAUGGAAGGAAUCCAAAAUUUUGAGUUCAGUUCGAACGCAUAUGGAUCUGAAUUUAGAUAUGAAAUUAUGUGAAAUUAAUUAUAAGAAUAUUCUUGAAAUCGUUAAACUAAAUAUAUGUUGAACAAUACAAAACUUAUUUAUUAUAUUUUCAGUUUAAACAAUGUUGUAAGGUUGGCUAUUUAAAAUAUAUAUCAUUUUAAUUUACAUGGAAAAAGUUUCAAAAUAUAUGGUUAUGGUUACAUAUGUUUAUAAUAUAACAAAAAAUAUAUUUUGGUUUCAGAAUUUAAACAAACAAUGCACAAAUUCAAAAUUGUGGAAUUUAUAUUAUAACAAUAAUCAAUGAUUUAUUCAUCUUUUAAUUUAGAAUGAUAUGCCAAAUGAUUUUUUUUUGUUCAGAAUAAAGAUUUAUUUUGUUCAUUCUGAAUUUAAAAAUUGAAAGCUGAGAUAUAAUUUAUCUAAUAUAAAAUUUAAAUGUAUAGGAAAUGUACUGAAAAAUCUAUGGACGAUAUAUAGCAUAUGUUAAUAGUCAUGGUUUUGGCAUAUAACUUAUUAUUUAUUUGUUAUAUAUAGUAUAUAGCUUCUUUUACUAAGGUAUAUCAAUUAUAUUAUAAGAUUCAAAAGGUAUGUCACUAAAAAGAUUAAAUAAUAUUACUGAGGUAGGAUAGGAGGAUUACAAAAUACACGGGGAAUUAGGAUUAGAUUCUACUGAAUAUAUAUAUAUAUAUAUAUAUAUAGUCAUCUAUAAAAUUAAUAUUAUGUAAGGGUGAAUAUAUAAGAAUAUGGUAUGUGAUUCCACAUUUUUCAAAAUUCAUUUCUAUAGUAAUACAAACCUUUGUUUCAAAAUUUCUAUGUGUAAACGAAAUUUAAAUAACAAUAAAUAGUAGGCAAUAUUUAAGGAGGUAGUUAUGGAGUAAUAUUUUAGUUUUCAAAUAUUAUCUUGAUUAGAUUGAGUUAUUUUAGGUAGGUCCAUAAUUUAAAUGACUUAAUAAUAUUAAGUCACAACAUAUUUAAUAGGUCCAAAUUUAAAAUAUGCCAAGGUAAAUUUCAAAUAGGACCCUAUUUUAAUAGAGUAGAAGUUAAAAAAAAUAAUAAUAAUACAUGCUGUUCGUGUCAAUAAAAGUAACAAAUACAAAUGUUUGAGACUUAAAUUUUAUCAAUCAUAAAAAAAAAAAUUGUUUGUCAUAAAUAACAACUAGUGUAUAUUGAUCCGCGGUUUAUAUUUUAUAUUUUUGUUUCUUUUACAAAAUCAACUAAACAAAUUUACUGUGUUAAAUUAAUUUAUUUAAUAAAAUGUUUAAUUAGCUGUAGUUUUUUGAUACUUAUUUUGUUAGUCAUUUUUAUCAGUGACAACAACUUUAGAUAUUUGUAUAUAUGGAAAAUGGUUUUAAAUUUAUCAUAAAUUAAUUUGUUAUAUUAUUUAAUACGUGAGGUUAUAUAUUGUGUCAUAUUGUUAAUUUAUAUUGUUCAGUAUUUUGUUUUCUACAAAUGAUUUUGAUGUCGCAAUUUCUUAAUAAAUCUAAAAUAAAAUAUACAAAAAUUAUUAAAUAGAUGAACUUAUUACAAUAGUGUUAAAAAUAUUGCCAGAGAAUGUUAAAGUUCGCAUUUAGAUUAUUUAUAGUGCCUAUACAUUAAAGCUAUUAAAAGAACUUAUUGUGAAAGGUAUAUCAAAAUUUUAAAGUUAGAUUAUAAAACAUGAAAUGCUAAAUCCAAACGUAAAACAUAAAAUGCUCAAUCCAAACGGAUGUCAAAGGAAUCCCUACUAUAUAUUGAGAAGUUACUAAAGUGAUUUUUGUUUAGGUGUCAUUUAUAGAUAAGUUUAUAAAUAAUUCUCUUAAUUUGAUUGGUUGUUGGUAUUUAAAUUUUCAUUUAUUUAAUUAAAAUUUAAAAAAAUAACCAAUCCUAGAAUCAACUGAUCUAAUCUAUAUUACCAUACAAACAAUUAAACAUUUUAAAAAUAGAACUAAAACAAUUUGUUUAUAGAAACAAUUAAAUAUAAUAAAUUCCAUUAUAGAAAUUUUGAAUAUACAUAUAAAUAUAUAUGAUAUGAUAGAAAUACUUAUAUAAACGGUUUUAAACAUAUUUCUAUUAAUAGUGGAUAAUAAAUCAUGGAUUAUAGAAAACUAAUUAACCUAAACCUAAUGAUACUUUUUUAUACUCACAAUAUAUAUUUAGUUUUUUAAAAAUGUGUCAAAUGAUUGGAAAGCAGUCAAAUAUACAAUUUUAAAAAACAUUCAGUAAUUUUUCAAUGACAAAUGUGGAUAGUAUAGUUGAGUUAUAACUUUCAAAAAUGAUUAAAGUAUUUUUCUAUUUAAAAACAGAAAAUAUAUGGUAAGUCUUUAACAAUAAUAUUAAUAAAUGAAAAUAUUUAUUAUAAUAAAAAAUUGAAAAUUGUAACAUUAUAUUAAUAUGACACUAGAUUUAAUAUACUCUAUCAAUGUAAUUCUUAUAGUUUUGAUUAUAAUAAAAUUAUAUGGUAAAUCAUUGAAAAUAAUAUUAAUCAAUAAAAUUAAAAGUGGAAACAAAAUAUAAUUACGAGACUAGAGUUAAGACUCUAUUGAUAUAUUUUGAUUGAUUAUAAUAAAAUUGAUAUUCUUAUUUUUGUAAGAGAAAAAAGGAUUUAUAAAUAAAACAUUAGUGAAGAUACUUCUAUAUAAUAUAAAGUGGUAGGCAAAAUAAUGCGAAAAUAGAAAGUGUUAUAAAAUCAUUUUUUGUUCAUUAAUCUUUGAUCUUUAUUAUUCAAAAAUUGUGUCACAAAAAAAUUUGGAAACUUAUAUUAUAAUUUAUAGAAUUAUUACUAUAUCGCAAUAAUCUUCUAAGAUGAUACAAUACCAAGACUUUUGAUUUUUCAAACGAUUUAAAAUGAAAAGGUUAUGAUUAUUAUUCAAAAUUAAAAAACAUAAUAUAUAAUUUUCAUACGAUUGUUAUAUCCGCGAAAUCGCAGGCACCCACCUAGUAUAGUUUAAAUCCAAACGUAAAGAUUUUAUAUAGUUUUGCAAAGAUUUUGUAAUCUUUGAUUACUGUUACAUGUUGUUUUUUUCUGAACAGUAAUACCAUUUCAUGUUAUAAUGCUUUAAAUAUUAUCACAUAUUUAUAGUGAUUAAAAUAUGGUUAUAUGUUUUGUUGGACCAUUUUUAAGUAAUAAUGUUUUUAUCAGUUAGAUAAAAAUAGGACUCUGAAUUAAUAGGAUAGAUUUAUGAAUAAUAAAUUAUCCAUAUCUCUCUCUAGGAAAAAUAUCUACAUUUAAAAGUUGAUCAAUAAGUAUUAAAUAUGUGCAUAUCCACCAAAAUUAAAAGACUUGAGCGUAAUUUAACCAUGCAAAUAUAUUAUUUCCUAAAUUUGACUUAUAAAAUUCACUUAUAAAUUUGACUCUUCACUCAAUAUAUAUCACAAACAAAACAACACAUUAAAAAGAGAGAGAAAAGAUUAAGAAGAGUAAAACUAUGUCAAUGUGUAACAUCCUAAUCUUCGCAGCCCUUUUACUCAGCUUCAUGAUUACUGCUUCGGUAGCCCGUCCAUACUCGACUCUCCAGAGCAAAGAUACGGUGAAUAUUCAUUUUCUUAGAUUUUGUGUUUACUUUAUUGUUUAUAUCGAUUUAACUAUACAACAAAACCAAAUUGAAACUGAGAAAAUAUCAUAUCUAGUUUACAAAAAAAAAUAUCAUAUCUAUCAUAUAAAAAACCCCAACUGUUUUAAUAUUUUCUGUUUGUAUACGUUACAUUAAUAUGAAAGACUAAGAAGUUUUGUCUCCGAACGUUCAUACAUCUUUCUAGGACGAAAUCCAAACAUAUUAAAUUAAUUUUAAGAGAGUAAAUCCUUUGUAACAAAACUUUUUAGAUCUCUAUGAGAUGGUCCAAGAGUUUUAGCUAUACUAGAUCCACAUCUUGUUGAUGUAUUUUUUAUUCAUCAAAUUGUUGAUUAUUUUAAAUGUAUGAAGGAGACGGAGAAGAAGUGUGAAACGAAUGAGUGUCUGAUGAAAUCGACGUUGGAUGCUCAUCUUGACUACAUCUAUACCCAAUCGCACCCGAAACUGCAUACAGCAGUUAAAGUAAUUCUCUAACUAUAUGCCCAUCGAUUUCUAUUAUUUAGUAAUACAUUUUCACAAUAUAAUGAAUAGUAAAUCAAAUGCUUUUAAAGUAUGAAUUGAGAAAUUAACUAAAUUCAUUUUUAACUAUUUGAAGGAAAUAGAAACACUAUGUGAAACGGAGGAAUGUUUGAUGAAAGCAACGUCAAAUGCUCACGUGGAUUACAUCUACACUCAGAAGUCUCCUCCACAAAAGCCAAUCCAUAACUAAUAUAUUCAACGUGUGUUCCAUCAUGUUCUGUUGUGUUCUCCAUCUUUCUAUACAACCAAAAAAAACUUAAUCAGCAAAAACUUAGUACUGUUUAUGUUUUAUUUUAAGUGGUUUCUGACCUCAAACAAACCAAAAAAAAAAACUCUCAAGAUAAAACGGUUGUAAUAGUGUUAUUUCGUACGCUGAUAGCAUUUGUUGUGCUUGGAUCAUCUUCUUCCCGAGGGCUCUCAAGAGCGUACUGAAACGUUCGAACAACUCAAUGUUCCAAAAGCUUUUUUGUGGUUGCCGAGAAACUUAUCUCCAAAGAUACCAUAUUCACUGCACAAAUGAUUUUUUAAUUGUUCUUCAACUAUUAACAACUGCCCUUUUGGUCUUCACCCCCCAUCAUAACCAACUAGAAACUUAUCUCCAUCUUAACAUUUGCACCCAAAGAAAAUGAAAAGAAACUUAUCUCCUUGACCUUGUCCGUGGCAAUAUGAUGCAACUACGAUAGCUGCAAUUUCUCUUCAAAGAAAGGGAACAAAGCCGUCCAAUCAAUUAUUUGUCUUUCUAUUUCCACAACAACAAACGAAUCCAAAGCUUUAAGUUGGAACCUGUGUACAGUAGUACCUUGCAACCAGAGUCCUCAUUCCAUCUCUUUUGAAAAUAUGCACUAUGGUACAUCCAACAUGUGAAUCUUUUGACAUUACCCUUCCAACACAUCAACGAAUUAGAAAACUUGAAAAAUUCUUACAAGUAAAUGAACAGGACACAAUGGUCACGUUAAUGACUCACUCUACAACGAGCGUAGCUGCUGCAUCCAAAUCAGAAGAUAUGUGUACAACGGCUAAGCCUCUUCUUAUCGAUGACAUUCUUGCUAUCUCUUCAAUGCUUUGAUCCAUCUAAGGCUAACUUUGUCGAGAACUUGUACAAGAGCUUGAUCGACUUGCCUCUUAUCAGCAUGACAAAGAACUCACGACUGUAGCUACCUCCACAAGUACAGCUAAAGCAGGGGUGCAAUCCCCGUGUUUAUAUCUUUGCUUUCUUUAUUUCCAAGUAAGUCUGCAAGCCUAAGAGGAUCAUCAUACCUUUGCUUUCCAGACCACAAUUACUGAUUACUAGAGCAUGUCCAUUCAUCUUUAAGCAAUCUCCAGACCAAGUUCCUCAAUAAUACUUUUCUGAUAAAUGCCAAAUAAAUUAAAUUAAUAUGACAUAAUUUUAUAAUAAUUAUUUAUUAAAAUUAAAAUAUCUUAUAGUUAUGACUAUACUCGUAUUAAAACCUAGUUAGAAAUUUAGAUGUUUUAUUGUCGCAUAACUAAUCGUGUGAUCAGACUGCAUGUUGCAAAUUGUUAUUCAUUUUGAUGUUGCAUGACUGAUUGUGUUCGCAAAUCGUGAUUUUAAAUCACUGAAAUAUUAGCUACUAGUUUUGUCAUAAAUCAGAUGUUGCAGUCGCAUUUUUUUUUGUCGACUUUUUUAAUUUCAUUACUUUGAAAACUUAGUACAAUGGCUCAACUGUUUAGCCAAGUGAUUACAUAAGGUCUGUUACUAAUUCUAGCAUCCUUGGCUAAUUUGUCAAUAUCAACUUCCUAGGUACAUGUCUGAAGUUAAAAUUACUCUUUGUUGCAACUGCUUUUAUGUCUUUAGCCACUCCAAUCACCUUGACAUAUAUCUUGAUCUCGUCUGCCUUUUGCCAUGCAAUAAAGAGUGUUGAUCAACCUCAAACAAUCGCUAAGGAAAAACACAUUAGUGUAGUAUAAUCUGUAGAGUUGUUGAACUGCUGACCACAUCGCCAUUGCUUCUGCUACCAACAGUGUGCUGUAGGAUUCAUUGCAGAGCUUUCAUGGAGUAUUAGAGUGCCUUCUCUGUUAUAAUAAGGAUUACCCUAUUCCAACAUUAUCCGUUGGCGCCUUCCAUGAAGCAUCUACAACCAGGGGCGAAGGCAGAUUAUGAGUAGAGGGUGCAUGUGCACCCAUAGAAAUAAUAAAAUUUAAAAUUUUAAGCUUAAAACAAGUAGAAUUUCACAGGUAAAAUGGUAAAAGGCAAAUUGUGCACCCACGCUAACUCAAGUUCGAUUAUCUCCUAUGUUUUUUUUAUUAAUAGUGCACCCAUGCCAAAAAUCUUCUGGCUUCGCCCCUGUCUACAACGCAGUAUAACUCUGUAUGUUGUAGUCGCAUAUCGCAUAACUUGUAAUGAACAAUGUUUUGGACACAAGUCACUUUGACAUGUAAGUGCAAGCGCAUUAAUGAACUUCCGGUUGGAGUUCACAAUUUGAUUUUUUUAUUAUUAUUAUUUUUUUAUUGAUUUUUUUUUAAAAAAAUAAAAAGUAAAAAAUAAACUGAUCAAUAGCGGACCGCCAUGUGGCGUGGACCCGUUAAACAGUAACGACUCGGGUUCAUACAGAAGGAGCGUGGCGAGACAAAUUCACCAUAAUUGAUUAUUAUAAAAAAAAAUUUUUUGGAUGUGUGAGAACUCUCCUCUUAAAUUUUUAAUGCUCAUGCUCUAAACUAACAAAACCAAAAUUAUUCAUAUAAUAAAAUUAUAAUUUUUUAUAUGUUUUCAAAUAUUCCGAUUAUUUUAGUGUAACGGCUUCGUGUCUUGUGCCUCCUCAUUAACUGGGAUGGGCAAAGAGAUGCCGCUCUUUGUGACUGUCUUCGCUGACUAGGGAUUGGGAAUACGAUAUAAAAGUAUACCACUAGCUAGCUCCAAUAUAAUAUGAUAAGCCAUUUUUAUCAACAUCUCGAACCAAAUUAAUCAAAAGAAGCAUAUCACUUCAACACCGUAAGCCGAAAAUUGCGGGUGCAAUAGUAAUCUUAUUUACCUAAAGUAUCGUCAAAAAUUGGCGGCACUUAACUGGUGUGCGAUACUGCAAAGUACAAACUUUUGUAGCCAAAGCAGUAAAAGUUUAUCCAAAAAAAAAGCAGUAAAAGUUUUUUUUUUUUUUUGCUAAAAUAGCAGUAAAAGUCUUAAGUGCUAGGAUGUGCAUUACAGUCUAAAAAUAAAAACUAAACUUAUGGUAUAAAUAUAUAGAUGAUGUAAUUAAUAAGCUUCACUGAGAAUUUCGUCUGAGAUAAGUUAUAAAUUUUUUUUACCUUGGAAUGAGCUGAACUAAGGUUAAAAUUACACGAGAAGAACCAAAAAGCGCUAUCAACUUAUAUAAACCAAAACGGGCCAAAACACUCAAAUAUUUUAUUCAGCCCAUGAGCCCAGGAUACGAUCCCGAGACAAGAUACGACGUCGUUAAAAACUGUCGGUGUCUCAGUGAGAAGCAAAACUAGGACUUACAAGUUUCACAUGGCCCUUCCCCCUACUUUCAAGUUUCAUAGUAUCACUUACUCUCUCUCUUCUUCAUUCCCAGGAAAAAAUAAAAAAUCCACAUUCGAAGCUUCUUCCCUCUCUCGGAUUGCAUUUUCAGGUAAAAUUCCCAUUUUUAUUCAGAUUUUGUUUGUGAUUCUUCUUAUUUAGUAUACCGGUUUGAUUAAAUCUCUGGUAAUUGCUUAAAGAUUUGUUCUAAUCACUCACUUACUUAGAUCCGAUAAAGAUUGUGAUUUUUGGUUCAAGUAUAGAAAUUUAAUAGCGUAUACUGUUUUGAGUAAUGGUUUAUACAAGACCAACACUCAAAAACGAAAACAAAUCUUCCAUUAAUGUGAAUAAAUUGAAUUUCAAUUGACUCUAUGAAAUCUGAAACAAUUAAGUAACAUAUCAACCGAAUGACUAAUGUCACAUUAAUGUUAAUUGGAAAAUAAAAUAAAAGUUAUUUCCUUUAAUUAAAAAAAUUGCAUAAUUUUUUUUUUGCAGGUAAAUAUUGUGGAUGGUCUCGCCUGAGGCAUCGCAUUUCCAAUCAUCUCCGAUGGCAAAAUACACCGGAGCAAGAACCAGACCGGUCAUCUGCUUCAACGACGUCGUUCUCUUCCUCGGCGGAGCUUUCAUGUCUCUCAUCCUCGUCUGGUCUUUCUUCUCCUUCUCAAACUCCCCAAACCUCACCUUCUCCCCCGACAAAACCGACGCUUCCACCAAAUGCACUCGCGGAAUCGAUAUGCGGUACGAUCCAACCGACCCGGUUUUCUACGACGACCCGGAUCUAUCCUACACAAUCGAAAAACCGGUUAAGAACUGGGACGAGAAGCGGAAACGUUGGUUAGAGCUACACCCCUCGUUCAUCCCCGGUUCCGAGAACCGGACGGUUAUGAUAACCGGUUCUCAAUCCGGUCCGUGUAAAAACCCGAUCGGAGACCAUCUCUUGCUCCGGUUCUUCAAGAACAAAGUCGAUUACUGCCGAAUCCACGGCCACGACAUCUUCUACAGCAACGCGCUUCUCCACCCGAAGAUGAAAUCGUUCUGGGCGAAGCUUCCGGCGGUUAAGGCGGCGAUGAUUGCUCACCCGGAGGCGGAGUGGAUCUGGUGGGUCGAUUCCGAUGCUCUCUUCACCGACAUGGAUUUCACUCCGCCGUUUCACCGUUACCGUGACCAUAACCUCGUCGUUCACGGCUGGCCUGGAGUUGUUUACGACGAACGGAGCUGGACGGCGUUAAACGCCGGCGUUUUCCUCAUCAGGAACUGUCAGUGGUCGAUGGAGCUGAUUGACACGUGGACAAGCAUGGGCCCGGUGAGUCCUGACUUCGCUAAGUGGGGAGAGAUCCAACGGUCGAUAUUUAAAGAUAAGCUGUUUCCGGAAUCGGACGAUCAGACGGCUCUGAUUUAUCUGCUGUUUAAACACAAAGAGGUGUAUUAUCCUAAGAUAUACCUCGAAGGAGAGUAUUAUUUCGAAGGGUACUGGUUAGAGAUCGUACCGGGUUUAGCCAACAUAACCGAGCGGUAUCUCGAGAUGGAGCGAGAGGACGCCACGUUGCGCAGGAGGCACGCGGAGAAAGUGAGCGAGCGAUACGCUGCGUUUCGAGAGGAGAGGUUCCUGCGAGGAGAAAGUGGCGGGAAAGGGAGUAAACGGAGGCCGUUCGUCACGCAUUUUACGGGGUGUCAGCCUUGUAGUGGGGACCACAACACGAUGUACAACGGUGACACGUGUUGGAAUGGGAUGAUCAAAGCCAUUAAUUUUGCUGAUAAUCAAGUGAUGCGUAGGUAUGGGUUCGUACACUCGGAUCUAGGCAAGACCUCCCCACUUCAACCUGUACCGUUCGAUUAUCCUGAUGAGCCCUGGUGAUUUUUUAAAUGAAUUUUUCCCUAUGUGGCUCUUGUGUUGUGUGUUUAAUUUUGUUUUUGAACGCUUUAGAUGGUGGUUUUAUAAUUUUAUAUGAGUUUACUAUUAUAAUCUAUGAUUUGAGAAUCUUUUCGAGUAAUAUAAUGAUUAUUGUAGGGCGUAUGAGAUAAAGAAAACAGUAUCUUAGUUGUACUUUCUUUACUUUUCCAUAGAGUGAGCCAUGAUGAGUGGGAUUCUUCGAUUUGUUGUCUUCUAUCACUUCUCUGUAUUUUAGAUUGUACUUGAUUUCUCAAUCACCACUAGUCUUUUUUUAUAAAAUAGUAAUAUUUUAUAUAAUGUGCAUCGUAAAUAUUGUUGGGCCUCGGAAAUCUUGGCCCUUCUCCAGGCUCCAGCUAUACAAUUGUGUCAAUUGGGCUCGGUACAAGAACUCUCGCAAAUUCCGUAAGUAUUUAAGGUUACCUGCGAGGGAGGUAUUUAAGUCUGAUCUUGGCUUGCCCGACAUGACCCUUAUAGAGUUAAAAAGGCAUCAUUGACCCCGGUUUCUUAGCCGAUGUUCUUAACUCAUAAUUUGAUAUUUUUUUUUUACACUUUUCGGUUAAGAGACGACUCUUAUAUCUCUUAUUUAAGAGACAAUUUUUAAUUUUUCUUAGUUAAAAUCAAAAGAAAACUAAGACCAUCUCCAUGAACUUGUUCUAAAAACCGUUUUUAAUCGAAGAUAAGAACCCCAUUUAAGAAAUUGAGACUAAUCAUGGUUUUAUGAGUUUUGGGUUUUUCGAGAAAAACGAUCUUAAUGUUAUAUCUGCCAUUUUCACCAUUUUAAAACAUAUAAGUUUUCACAAAAAAUCAAUUUCAACUUUCGUCAUUAAAUAUAAAGUCAGUCGAAACUUUUUUUUGACAAAAUUGUUUUUAUACACUUUAAAAAUUAUAUUAUAUGCAUACUAAAUUUAACAAAACUUAAAUAAUCAAAUAUAAAUUAAAACUAUAUAUAAAAGACAACAUGUGUGUUAUGAAUCGUAUGACAAGUUUUUACUCAUGAAACUUAUCUAUCCAAAGCGAGUUAGUAAUAAGAUGAGUGCGUUCGAUAUCUUAUAUAUUAAAACAGAAGUCACAACCUUGAUUCUUUUUUUUAACGCUGAUUUAUUACGAUCUUACAAUUAUGAUAUAUGAAAGAUUACAUAGACGAUUCGACAACCGACAAUACUACCUGCCUUAUGAAGACCUACGCCUAACUGCAUCACCUGAGCCGUCCUAUGAAGAUCCACGUCUGGCCAGAUUUACUUGCACCAUGUUGAAGAUCCCUUGCAAGCCUUUCCUCUGUAGUCUGGCAUAAUUGUUUAAUAAACCGCUUUCUCCGGGACUUGAAACCUGGAUUUCCUGUAAUCUGCAAUAAAUUGCAUAGUCUGGGAUUCGAACCCGGACCUGGGUGUAGAAGCCUUUAAACCUUAACCAAUAGGCUACGGUGCUUCCACGAUCACAACCUUGAUUCAUGUGUGGUUUUUUUAAAAAUGGACCAAAUGGACCUAUUCAUAGAAAUUCAUAUUACAUUUUAGUUCAGACUAAUAAUAAAUAGAAUUUUAAAAAUAUUUUAAUCAUAAUAUCUUUUGAUAUCUUUUCAUUUUAAAUAUAAAUAUAUUUAUUUUAAAAUUCUAACAAAUCUGUUUAAAAAGAUUUUUACAAGAUCUUCAUUUUCGAAAUUAUAUUUAAAUAUUUUCGCUAAUUUUGAAAUUAGUUUAAAAUAUCAUUAUACAUUAAUAUAUUCAGUUAUAUAAAAUUAAAAAUAAACAAAUCUAUAAUAUUUUAUUUAUUAUAUAAUCAUAAUCAAUCAUAUUAAAAUAAAAUUAUUAUAUUGAGCUAAAUAUAAUAAAAUUGUAUUAAAUUUAUAUAUUUAUAUAUUUUAUUUUCGUAAUUAUAAAAUAUUUAUGUUCAAAAAUAAAAUCUAAUAUGUUGGUAAGAUGGGUUAACAUUAUCAAACUAUAUAAUACAUGUAUAAAAAUUAACAUGUAUUUCUUUAAAGUUAAUAAUAUAAAAUCUUUGUAACUAUUUUAAUCAUAAUAUAUUUUCAUUUUAAAUAUAAUAUAUAUUAAUAUAUUAUAUUUUAAAAAUUCUAAUAAACCUGUGUAAAAAUAUUUAAAGAAUAACUUAAUGUAUUUUAAGUUAUCGUUUAAAAAUGAAAAUAAAUAAAUUAUAUCAUAUUUUAUCUACUUUAUAGUCAUGAUCAUGUUAAAAUAUAAUUAUUAUACUAAAAUAAAUAUGAUAAAAUUAUAUUCAAUUGAUAAAUUUAUAAAUUUUAUUUUCAUAAAUAUAAACUAUUUAUUUAAAAUAUAAUAUGAUGAUAGAACAACUAAAAAUUAACAAACUAUAUAAUAAAUGUCUAAAAAUUAACAUAUCUUAGACUUUUAUAUAUACACUAAUAAAUUAUCUAAAAUGAAUAAGCAUAAAAAUAUUGGUAAAAAAAAUCCAGUUUUGAAAGACGGGUCAGAAAUUAGCAUAAAUUAAAUUCAAAAUAAUUUUUAAAUAUAUUUUCUUAUGAAUAUAUUACUUUACUUAAUAACUAAAUGCAAAUACAAUAAGAUAAAUAUAUAAUAAGAAGUGGUAAAUACAUACGGUUUAAACAAUUAAUUAAUUAUAACAUGUAAAUUAUAAAAUUAUUGUAUUUGAAAUAGUUAUAUAAAUAUUUAAGUAUAUGAUUAACAUUAAAAAUAUAUACCACUUAUGUUCUAAAACAAUAAUUUAUGUAUAGAAAAGUAAAAACAAACAUCCGUGCGGUUGCACGGGUCAAAAUCUAGUUAAUUUCUUAUAAUUUGUUUGAUAAUAUUUCACGUAAUAUAAGAUAAAACAAGGUUCAACGAAUAGAUAGGCGGUAAACCAGACACUUUGGCACUUUGCAUAGGACUAGCGUUGACAAUUAUAUGUUUAUUAAUUAUACAUCUUAUAUUUGUAUUACAUUUUUUUAUAUUUUAUGUGUUUAUUUAUAAAAUGACUUUGAAAAAUAUUUAUUCAAAAGGAAAUCAAACAAAUCUGUGAGCUUACACUAAAAAAAAAUUGAAGAUUAUCAUUUGUUAUAGACAAGACGAUAUAACUAAAUUAGUCAUAAUCCACUCUUAUGUUAUUUGAGUAAACCAAAACAAAUUUAGUUCCGUUUGAACUUUGAACUAAUUUCGAAUGACUUACAAACUAAACGAAAUUUGUUUAUAUGAUUUUGAAAAGGUCUUUUUGGUUAUGAUCGAUUUGUAGCUUAGAUAGACAAAAUAUGCAUCUACACCCGAAUAUCACAACAUUCAUUAAAAAAAUGUUAAGAAGUCAUAUAACUGACCAAUAAAUGUCAUAUGAUUCAAAACACACAUGUUUACCUUGAAUAAAACACAUGUAAAAGCCAAAGGUUCAUAUUGCUUUCCCACCUAACAUUUAAAUUAAAAACCAAAUAACAAAGCACACACACGUUGAAAAUUCAACAUCAUUACACGACAUUAUUUUAAUAUUCUCCUAAAAGUCAAAUCCGAUUAAGCCGCAAAAGAAGAUCAGAAAACGCUUGACCCACGCUUAAAAACGUUGACAUAUAGACGCGCAUACACACACAUAUAUAAAUACAUGUACACACACAAGCCAUCAAGAUCACAAACACUUAUCUUCAAAUCCUGAUCUAAUCUUUGUCUUGUAAACACAGAAAGUUCUUAACCAAUGGAAGCUACUUCACAGCCUUGUUUCUCUCAUAAUUACCUUAGAUCAUCUGAAAACUACAACUCAUCGCUCCAUUCGACACGAAAGCAACCUGCAAAGCCAUGGAAAAGACCCGUAACAGCUUCGCUUCAACGAAUGCAUCCCAGAGUUUACCGAGUCGAGCCUGUGAACUUCAAAGAGUUGGUUCAGAGGCUAACCGGCGCACCACAAGAUCACGAGAGAGAUGAGGUGCAUCAAGUUGAAACUAAGCCACUACUCAAGGUGCAACACGGUCUAGUUGAGGUUAGGCAGCCACUCAAGAUUUUCCGUGAAACAACAACUCAAGAGAACCCACUGGCGUUUGAUCUGUCUCCUUCAUCAUCUCGUUUUUGGGAAGCUUUCCCUCUUCUCAGUUCUGCGAAUCUAUCAAGAUGGUAGGACAAAAUAAAUCUUUCAUUGAUUGCAAUUCUUGAAAUUUAUCGCUAGAAAGAUGUAUGUAUACGAAGAGAGAACACUUGUUACUGUUACAUUACAAAACAUCUGUUUUUAUAAAUCUUUUUCGCGCUCUCUACGAAAAAGCUCGUCUCUGCCUAAACCAGAUACAGGCUGAUGAUGAUAGAGUCAUGUUCAUCGAACUCAAUGUUUUAGGAAACUAACUCCACUAAUAAUACCAGUAGACUAAAGAAAUAUUUAAGAAAAAUGGACCAAAAUUUAUUAUUGACGACUGGAAGCCCAUGCUUCUAUAGCUUCUGUCAGAGCCGGACCUGGGUAUUCGUCAAAAUCCAAAGAGGGUGUUGUCUAUAUAUAACUCUCUCUAAUGUUUUGUUUAAAAGCUUCAAUGUUCUCGUCGGGUGUUUUCCCUUUGGCCACUUUAAUUUCGUCACAUUACGCAAACACAAAAGUCUACAGUACCUGAAAAAAUCAUCACAAUAUUAGGACAAUCAAGAAAAUUCUAAGAACAAACAAAAAAGACCACAUGUAUCAUCACAUACAUUGUUGGGGCCAAACCAAUUCUCACAAUCAAGAUCAAUCUUCUAAGGAGGAGAUUCUAUGUACACUAAUCUGAAUGGAAAGUUGCAGACUAUUGAAGCUGUGAAAAAAGACAGGAAAGAAUGAUCUCUGGGUAGGCUGAAUCAAGUCAGAAACACUUUAUCAAGGUUGAAUCAAGUCAGAAACACUCUGGACUCAGAAGGUCUAUUAGUGGUGCAGAGCUUGUUGGUUUUCCCAAGCGAGUGAAAAGAGUUCAUAAGAAUGAAUCUUUUGAUGAUGCUUAUUACAUCUAUCGUUUUGGUAUGUUCUUCAGGGAUAGGUAUGUUUUUGGUAUGCUUAUUACAUGUAUCGUUUUGGUAUGUUCGUUUUUGGUAUUCUUCAGGUGAUCGCUCGAAACCAUGCUUUAAUGCUUUUGUUGAUUCAGAUUGAGCAACAUACCCAGAUAGUAGAUAUCACUGGAUACUGCAUUUAUCUCGGAAACUCUUUGAUCGCUUGGAAGUCUAAGAAACAUGAUGUGGUGAGUAGGAGUAGCACUGAGGUAGAGUUCAUGAGUAUGGCUAAUGCUAAUUUUGAGCUUGGUGUUACUACCUCAGCUAGAUUUUUUGUGAUAACAAAUCAGCUACGUACUUUGCCACGAAUCCAGUCUUUCACGAACUCACCAAACAUGUGGAGAUAGACUGCCACACGGUACAUGAUCAAGUGAAAAACGGUUCUUAUGGUUUAUGCACGUGUCUAGUGCUAAUCAGCAUGCAGAUAUCCUCACCAAAACUUUGCAUCCGGGAUCAUUCAACUCUAUACUUGCUCAGAUGUCUACUUCAAAUCUCUUUACUCCACAAGCUAGUUCCAUUUCAGAGACUUGAGGGGAGUGUAUUAGUUGAUAUAGAGCUGGUAUAAUCUGGUUUAUAUUAAUGGUUAUUAUUUGGUUUAGCUUCUUUUUACUAAACAAAUGUAUAUAUAGUGAACCAUGUAACAAACUUUACGAUCAAGAAGUUUAAUUUUUUUCAUUCAAUAAUACAUUUAGCAAUCCAAAAAGUGUGCUUCCAAGGCCAUUAGUCUCUUUUACAAAGUAUGGCCACUGAUCCACCUUUGGAACAUGAUAAAUGUCUCGUUUGGUUUAUACUCUGCUGUGUGUCCACCUCCCUAGCUCAAAACAUCAGUAAACACAUUCUUAGUGAUACAAAUUAUGCAGUGCUAGUAAAAUGUUAAGUUGAAUCAAGAAGACUUACUUUGAUGGUAGCAUAUGUCAUCUUAUUGGAAUAAGUUCUCGUGUAUCUGACAAAAAAGAAGGCAACAAUGAUUUUGAUGUGAGUUUGAUAAGCUUACAAUACAAAAAGAUAAUGAACGAACAAGAGAUAAUUAUAUAUACCCAGCGAUUUGAGCUUCUAUCAUCCAUGGCCUCCAGUCAUCAAUGAUGGAGUAAUUCAGAGAUUUGAUCCAAGCUUGAGUUCCUUGGAAUGUCAUCGUGAUGUCAUGAUCACCACUGUUUACCACAAAUCACACAAAUUUUACGAUAUUGUUUAGGUAUCUGAUCUUAGGCUUUAUAAAAAUUUAAACCAAAUAAAGUCAUUUGUAUUUUAGUUCAGAUUCAUGAAAAUUCGGAUUAGUUUCCAAUUUUGGUAUAGUUAAGAAAAUAGAGUUAAUUCAAACCUAUAAAUAAGAGAUCGAUAUCCGCUGAUGCUGUUAUUCAUAUGAUAAGGUACGCUGCUUAUAAUGUCUUGAUUGUAUGGAAUAGUCCAGUUACAUCGCUGCCAAUGUCCUUUAGUCCCCUGUAUUAACAGAUCGUCAAAAAUUUAUUCUAGAAACUUUCUUUAUAUCAUCAAUGAUCUUAAAUUAAAGUUGGCAUAUACCUUUUCAACAUGAAGAGCUUCGCGAACUCUCUCGUUGUUGGCCCAACAUUCAAUGAGAUAAUAUAGAUAAUACUGUCAAGGCAAACCAUGUCUCAAUGUUUCUAUAUCAUAAAUUUAUACACUUUCCAUAUAUCAGUUGCUUCUUUGUUCCCACUAAAAUUAUGAACUGAAUAAGAGGAAAACAGAUAAAAUUCCUAUGGGUUUCCCAACCCUUUUAAAUUGUCACUAAGAUGGCCGAAAGAGGCAUUACUUACAUAACAAUCAGGAGAUGUAUUUGAUGAAUUACUUUUGUCAUCGCAAUCUGGUAAUAAUAUAUGUUGUGUGUUUAUUUUGUCAGUGCACUGCAGAUAAAAAUAAUAAUUAAAUUUAGUUUAAUGUUGGUAUUUAGUACUAAAGAAAUAAAAAUUGAUUUAAGUUCACAGUUUGUACCACCUUAUGGUAUUCUUCAACAAGUUUCAAACAUUUUGUGUUACGUGGAUCCACAUUUCUAUAAUUUCCUUUGCAAUUUCUCUUCAAUGACUGUUAAAAAGAUUGUAUAAACUGUUGUGUCAUUUGAGGCUUCCCAAGUGAUAUAACUAUACGAAAAUAAAGAUAGCUCGGAAUUAGGCUGCAUAUAUUACAUACCUCGUAGAGUUCAUCAGAGAUUAAUGACAUUCCAUGUGAAAAUGGAAUACGAUAGUUUUCGUCAAUUUCAGGAUGUGUUACUGGGUUUCCCAGCACAUAACCCUGGUUUUUGUAAAUACAAUUAUGAAUUUUUAGUUUUAGAAAAAUGUACAAAAUAAUUUGAAGCAGUUAAAUAUUAAUGACCUGUAGAUUAAUGGGAGGUUUACAACAUAUAUAAUUUCCUGCAUGAAUCAUAGUGCCAAUAUUGUUAAAACAGAUACAAUACAGAUACAAUAUCAUAUAUAAUUGCAUACCUUUUGAGAUUUCUUGAACGAGUGCUGGAAUAGUCUUGCCAGAAUAAGAAUCUCCGGAAACGUAAAACGAGUUGGAGAGAAACUGUGGAUGCUUGCUUAGCCACUGCCAAAAAAAAUACACAUUUAAUCUAUUAAUUUAGGAUCUUAUUUUUUAUCUACCAUCCAAAAGUUUAGGUUAGACCAUUCAUGAAAAACUUAACUAAACAUCUUAAAUUUAUUCAUAUAUAUGAUAUUUGCAUAGCAAAAACAAUAUACAUAUAAGCAAUAACAUUCCUAAAAAAUGACUAAUAUAUUUUCAUUAGGCAAUUAUCAUUUGAUUAUUUAUCAUAUUUAAUCUAGACCAUAUUAUAUAUAUAUAUAUAUCAGUAAUUAAUUUUUAAAUUAAAUAGUAUAUAGCCCAUUUGUUUUUAAAAUUAUCACAUUAACUUUUUAAAUAGUUUAGUGUUUCAAAAUAAAUAAUAGUUUAUUGGUUGUAACAUUUUAUGUUUGAUUUUUGUAGUAAAAAUAAAAACACUAAACUGAAAUAUUGUAUAUUAUAUAAACAUAUUGAGAAUAAAAAUUAAUAAAAAUUGUAUUCAUUCAUAUAAAAAUAAUGUUUAAAAUUAAACUAUUAAUAUGAUGUUGCAUCUUUAAAUAAAUUAACAAAAUACUAAAUUAAUAUAUAUAUUAAUUUAGAAUUUUAUUUUUUAUCUACUAUAAAAAGUCAUUUUAGGACCAUGUUAUUAAAUAUAUAUCUUAACUAAACGAUAUUCUCAAUAUACUCAUAAAUAAGAAAUCAAACAAUUUCUUCAGCAAUCAUAUAAUAAUAAAAAUCAAACCCAGUACUUUCGAAAUCAUAAGAAUAGAAUAUUAAAUUUUUAACUAAUAAGAAUCCUAACGAAAUCCUAGCUAAACAAAUAGUAUUACUCAAUAUCCCCAUUAUUAAUCUGAAACAAAACCAUGUAUCGUCUAAACCCUAUCUAUACUACAUAGUACUAUCAAUCCCACAACUCUAACUACAUACUGCAACCGUUGCCAAAAAAAAAAAACUACACACUGCAACCACACAAACUGAACAUUCCAUUUUUACGAUGGUUCCUCCUAAAGAUAUUAUUAACAACAAAAAAUAAAUCAUAUAUAAACAUUUCAAGGACCCAAAAUUUUAAAACCAAAAUUUACAAUGAAAUUAUUAAUAAUUCAUCUAAACCAAAUGUUUAACACUAAACUUUUUAGUAUGAUGCUACAACUUUUUUUUAAAAAACAAUAUGUUAAUAAGCCCAGACAUAAAAACUGAGAACCAAACAAAAAAAAAUCAAAACCAAAACGAAUUUUAUAAAUAACUGAACGGUGACACUUUAUUUUUUGACAAAAAACUAAAAUUUAAAAUUUGAACCGAAACUAAAUCGAAUACCAAACACCCAGAUCUAUGUUAACAUAUGACUAUUAUAAUUUCAUCCAAAUAUUUUUUUCACCAAAACAAAAGUAUCAAAAUAAAAUUUUACACAAAACACUAAACUUUUAUAAAACAUAUAUUCUCAUAACUUAUUUUGUGUUCAAUAUUUUUUAAUAUAAAUAAAAAUAUACCCCGCAGGCGCGGGGUUUACCUUCGCAGGAUACCAAGAAAAUCCUAAACCAGUUCAAAUAAAAAAAAUAUAAGAAUGGGCUAGGCUUAAAUGUGAUGGACUACAUCAGCGAAGGCCGUCAACUUUACACAGUGUUAUAAAUUAUAAAAAGCUUAUCCGUAUACACAGAUGUCUAGGCAAAAGUUGGAUAAAUGUGUAUUUUACCUAUACGUAUAUAAUAUAUUCUGUAUAAUAUAUACUUUAUGCUGAUUGAGUUUAUGUAUGUGAACUUGAAAUCAAUAUAUUUUAAUUUAAGAUAACUGGAUAAAUAAUAUAUUUCAGAAAUAAAAUUAUGCAUGUAAUUUUUUUAAUAUACGUGGUUUUAAAUAUAUAAAAACAAAAACAUGCUUUUAGACAUAGAAAAGUACAACAGUUUUACAUAUACAUUUAAAUAUUUUAUAAAUAACUGAAAUUAAAAAAAAAAUCGUGAACAAAUUAGGCUUUGAUUGGCAGAGUAAAUGAUAAAGCAAUAGAAGUAUGUUAUAAAAACAUUAUGCUGCAGAAGCUAUAUGUUUUUACUAAACUAUUUAAUAGAAUGAUUCGUAAAAUAAUAUGAUUAUGCUAUUUAAAAUUAUUAUAAAAAUUAAAAUAUAAUAUAGAAUAUAAUUAUUUUUAAUAAAUAUAUCUUCUAAUAUAUAUAUAUAUAUAUUAGUAUAUGAAAUUUAUUAGAUAUAAAAUAAUUUAUUUUAUUUAAUAAUUAUGUUUAUAUCAAAAAGAUAUUAUUUUAAAAUAAUUUUUACAAUAAAAAUAAAAAUAAAUGAAUUAAUUAUAUAUUUUUAAUUUUUUUAUAAAUUAUAACUGCAAAUGCUCUUUUAAAUUAAAAGAUAGUAUUUAGAGAGCAUUAUCAUUUAGUAAAUGUUUUUUUAAUGUUUUUAUAACAAAUGUUGAUUGGAUAAUGUAAAACAUAAUGCUAAUAUUAAUGUUCUAUCAAUCAAUGCCUUAAUAGAUGUAGACAAAUAAAUUAAAUAAUAAUCAAUGUAAAUAAUAAUAUUAAAAUUUUAAUUAUAUAAUAUUCUUAAAAAAUUAUGUAACCAUGCAAAAUCCAUCCAAUCGUUCGUAUAGACUGCAUAAUUUCAACUUUAACACUAUCCAGCGUUUGAGUUGUUUUAAAAACCGCCUUAAGCAUCGCAAAGCAUAAAAUUGGGACACUGACUCUAUACACCGAGAAGUGUAACAUAUACAAGAGCUUUAAGAAGACAUUUAAAUUUGCCAUAUUACCUUUUGAAGAAACUGAUGGAUCAUCUUUGCUUCAUUUGUGUCACUAGUUUUAUCAAGUGGAGUUCUUGAGUAGGAGAAGCCAGCUCCAACAGGUUGAUCCAAGUAUAUUAUGUUCGCCACCUGAAAAUGUGAUCAAAGUUAAAAAUAGAUCAUUGGGUUUUCGAUGGACUAAUAAGCUUACUUUUGGUUACCUGUGUCCAUGAAUAUGUAGAAGAGACCAAAGAAACUAGACUUCCAUUGUAAACCUCAAACUUCAGACCCACAGGUCCUAAUUUUUUAUUUUACCACUUUAAAACAAAUUAUUGAAAAUCAUGCUUAGUGAAAAAGAUAUUUUAUAGAUUUACCAUUCUCAAAAAAAAGGCCUUCGAGAGAAGAGCAUCCAGGUCCUCCGUUUAACCAAAUAAGGAGAGGAUCUUCUUUUGGAUUCUUCUCGGAUUUGAUGAAGUAGUAGAACAAUUGCACUUCCUCUUCCUCACCAAUGCCGAUGUACCUUUCGUUCAGAAGAAUAGCAAACUACUAAUUCCAAACUCAAACACACAUUGGGUACAAAGAAAAGAAAGAUUUGACAAACCCUGUUUCAAGCUCGAACGGAAGAGGGCCUUCAAAACCGGGAAGAAACUUGACGAUGGAGGCACAAUCAACAUGAUGACUCCAGACAAGUAGGAGUAGAAGAUAAAGCUUUAGUGUCAAACUCAUUCUCUUUUAAUUUCUAAAUAUUGAGUCAUUUACGGAAUAAAAUGAAUUUAUAUACUGUAGGUAGCAUUUUGCUACUACCCUCCUCCGUCCAUUUGAGGCACGUAGUCAGUACAGCAACCAUUCAUCUUACCUAACAGUGAUAAUAUUGUACAGCUCGUAUCAUCAGCAAUCAGCACUGUAUAAUGACGAGAUAGUGACAGCUGAAGCCCGUCUCAGUAUAAUGGAUUAUAUAGAAACUUUUAGCGUUAGUAAAAAAAAAUUUUAGUGAAAAAUACGUUCAACUGCAGAUAAUGUGGGAAAAAAUAUUUUAGAAAUUUAAUACAAAACCUUUCAACUGAUAGUUCAUUUGUAUUUUAAAAAAUUCAUUAGUGUUGUUAACUAACACACUCGUCGGUCCACUGGGAAUAAUGGGCAACCAUUUUGAGAGUCACGUGGUUGGUGCAGCAACCAUCCAUAAUAUUAAGUAGUAACGGAUAAGAGUGACAACUAUUUUGGAGUAAUAAUGUGAAAAUGAUAGGGAGAAACAAAUAAAACUAAUGGCAAAUCAACCAGAAUAGAUUUAUCUUCAUAUAUCUUUGUAUUAACUUAUCAUUAGACACAAUUAUUCUUGUACUAAUUAAAACAAUUAUAAGAAAUUGUAUAUAACUCAAAAAAUAAAAAACCAAUAAUAUUCGUAUAGGAAUUUUUACAUGUUUUCCUAUAGAAAAAAAAUAAUUAGGAAACAGUUAGCAUUUGUUGAUCUAAGUUUUUAGAAUGUAUAUUAUAACCCUUUUUACAAGGAUAAAAUUAAUAUUCUAACAGUUUUACGUUUUAGAUUGGUUAUUAUACAUAUUGUAAUGUUUUCUCUAUGAUCUAUCUAAGUUUAUAAUAUGUCUGCCUCUGCCAUAAUUAUAAUUCAUGAGAAAGCUUUAAUUUUUUUUUAUUACAAAUAUAUAUCACACAAAGAUCAAAUUAAAUAUAUGUUUUAUUAAAGAGGUAAAAUAUAAUUGUAUUCCUUUGAUUAACUAAUCUAAAUUUAAGAUUUAGGAGGAUGUAUUCAAUAUAAUGUUUGAGGUGAUUUGGGUUUUAGUGAGGUUUUAAAUGAUUUCAAUGAAUUAAAAAAUUUAAGGUGAUUUUUGUUAAAUCACUCUAAAAUAUCACCUAAAACUAUGAGAUUUGAGUUUUAUUUUUAUUUUUAACUAAGAAACUCCACUCAAACAUUCUAAAAUCACUUAACUUAAAACAUUUUCAAUAACGGUAGAUUUCAUAGUACUUUAUGAAAUGUCAAGUUCAAUAACAGUGAACUUUAAAUGAAUUUUAGAAGUCAUGUUUGAAUAACAUUAAAUUUGUCAUUUUAAUACAUCACCUAAAAUUCUCAGUUAAAAUUUAAAAUGAUAAUUUUAAAAAUAUUUUUAAAAAAGAAUUUGGAUUUCAAAUAAAUUUUCAGAAAAAGAAUCGCAGACUUUUUUAAGAAAGUCAAUUUUGUUUAAUCGAGUAACUUUUUCUCAAAAAUAAAAUAUUUUUUUAUUAUUUAUUUCAAUUUAUACAUCUAUAGAGUAAAAAUAUAUUUGUCAUUUACCUAUUUAAUAAAACAUUUUUUGGUUAUUUCUUCUUUGUACUUUUAAUCAAAAAAUCUUUUUAGGUUCCGAAAGAUUUGCCCACAAUUCUUUGUUUUUUUUUAUCAUAGGUUUGCACUUUGCACUAAGUUUAAUUUUCUUUUAAACAUUAACUAGAUCUUGACCCGCACAUCCGUGAGGGUUUUUUAUUUUUAAGCUAAAAUAUUUUAAAUUUUUAUAACAAAAUUUAUCAAAAACUUAGUGUAAUUUAGUGUUAUAUUUCUACAAUACCUAUGUUUAUGUGACUUAUAUAUUAUUACUAUAAAUUUUGUAAAUUUUUUAUUUAUGUAACAAAAUUUAUUUUGAAAACAUUAUUAUGUAACAAUACUAUUUUAUAUUAUUAUGGUGCAAUACUAUUUUACAUAAUAUUUUUUUAAGACAAAUGAUUUUUUUAUGUAGAUCCAAUUUAAUUUAACUUCAAUAAAUUUUUUUUGAGAUACUGUUAAAAACAAUAAUUUUUUUAAAAAUUAGCUACAAUAUAUUGUACUUCAAAAUGAUUUUGUAGUAGUGAUCUUAUUUGAGAAAUUACUUGAAAUACACUAAUUUGGGCAAAAUAGUUUUAUUUUUCAAUUUGAAAUAGAAAUGGAUCUUUCUAAUAAAAUAAUUUUAAAAUCUUUGCAAAAUGUAUUUCAGAAAAUUAAUCAUUUAAAUUUUCAUUACCAUUAAAAUAUGGUUAAUAAUAUUUAAUCUAAUUUUAAUUUUUUGCUUAUAAAUGAAAACUAAAUUAAAUUUUAAUUUCUAAUUAAAGUUUAUUAUGUGUAAAAAUUUGAAUUAAUUACUUGUUGUAAGUAAAUUUUAAAUGGUUCUGAAUUCUUUUUAAACGUAUUUUGAUAGAAAUUUCUUAAAAAUAUUUAUUCGUAUUUCAAAUAUAAAAUGAAGAUAUUAAAAUCAUGGCUAUAUGAAUAAUGUGUAUUAUAGUUUCUUGAACUCUAGAUGAAAGGAUACGGUUUCUAAUGUUCCUUUUUAGUUAAAUAGCUGAAAUUAAAUUAGAAAAAUAUCACACGUUAUAUAAAAGAAGAAACAUAUGUUUAGGAAGGAAAUCAGGAAAAUAUCUCAUUAACCAUACAUUUACUUAGUUAUUUACGAAAAGAAAAGACUAAAAUGUAACCACAAUUAUUGUUAUGAUAUUAUUAUGCAAAUAGAAAAUUUCAUUAAAGUAAUUAUAUAGAAGAAGGUCCAACUUAAAAAAUCACACAUGAAAAAAUUGUGAAUUCUGUUUUAAUAUAUAAGAACUUUAUUAUAUAUUUUAUUCCAUCAUCUAUUCUAGAUAAACAACUUAUUUUUGCGUUUAUGCUAUGCUUUAAACCGGCUAUAAUGUAUAGUAAACCAUACAUCAUUGUUCUACCUAAUUUUCUUUUGUCAACUAUUCUACCUAAUUUAAAACGUGUAUUCUAAUAAAUUUCACUAUUAUUAAAUGAAAAGUGGAUCUUUUCCAAAUUUUGCUACACCUAUAUGCAGAGAGAUUACGAAUCUUAAAGAAAGCUUCUAGAAUGUUUACCCUACAAAGGUUUGGCACUUGCAAAUUAAUAUCACAUGCCUAACAAUCAUGAGAGAUGUAACAACGUAUGGUUGCUGAGCAUCGUCAUAACCUUACAAAAUAAUAUAUACAGACAAGAUAAUUCAAAAGGCUAAUAUCCUCGCAAAAACUUGUAUCUGCUGUUUGAACAAAAAAAGAAAAAAAAAUUGUGUCUGCUGAUGCUACAACUAUAGAACUAAAGACAGUAUCCUAUUGUCUCCUUCCUGGUGUGAUCAUAACGAGUCAAAUUUUGAUUAGACAUGAGCAAAAAAAAGUGUUAAACUGUUCUGUUUCUUGUGUUUGAUCGAUCCCUCAUUAGAUCAUUUGAUCGAUCCCUCAUCGGCUUCUUGUCAACGCCGCCACCGAGUCCUCUCUUAGAUCCCUGGUUCAUUGAAGAAAGCAAACAACAGUGAAAAAAAAAUUAGCAUAAGUAAGCAUAAAAAAGAUAUAGAGAGAUCUAUGUGUAAAAGCUAGAACACAGAAGUACUAUAUCAAAGAAUAAGAUAAUUUUCUCAAAUUGUUGUCUUUUAUUAGAUAUUUCUUAAACAAAUUACAUUUUUUGUUUAAUUAUAUUCGAUUUCACACAUGUGAGUUGACAUUGAAAUUCCUAAUCUACCCAACCUUACAAACACAACAACCGUUGCAACUUUCGUUUAUUCACUCACACAAGAAAUCUUACACGAUCUCACAAAAUAUAACAUAAUGCUUGACGUACUCGUCUCGUCCUCCUGCCUUUUAGAACACACGAUGACACGAUCUCUUCCUUUUUUAAGAUCUUCUUUCCAGUAUCCUGAUAAGUCUAAAUCUCCAAUAUCUCUAGAUAUCUUCUUAUCUUUAUACAUUGUACAAGAAAACCUUUUCUUUAUUUUCUUGUUUAAUAACUUCAUCCAAUGAAGCAGUGGCCGUCACAAAUCAUUGUAUUCAGAUAUUCACGCCAUAAAAUCUUGUAGGUAAAUAUUUUCACGUCACCUUUUGACUUGCGCAUGUGAAAACUUCGUUGAACACUUUGUUCUUGUGCUACAGAUUCCAUGUCUUAACAAUCUCCUAUUUUUAUGUAUGACAAUCAAGAAAUAUGCCCAUAAAACAAGAACACAAACCACUAUGCAAGCACUAACAUGUAACUCAAGACAUGAUUCAAAACUACAAAACUUAAAACCAUCGUAUCUGAGACUUGAGACAUAGCAAGGACAUAACUAAACUGUUCAAGAAUCGUAUUAGUAGUUGCACACAUAUGCUCAGUCCCAAUCACAUGAUAACAUACUUUCCAUGUCUAACUAACCCUUCAAAACUCAUGAUUUUUCUUCCCAUGCUUGAGUGCAUAAAUACAUAAAAACCAUUCAUAAACACUUACAUGCAGGAUAAAAAAUCCCCCAUGAGAAAUCAGUACUCGCUUGACAUGUUCCAUAUGCACACCUGUUUCUUAAUUCACACACUUAAACCAAACAAUUAAACCAUGCCGAUCAAAUCAAAGGAAAUGGGUACAUGCCAAGAUCUGUGCAACAUGAUGAACUAUUUCCAGCGAUCGUAACACAUGCAGUUUGUACAAAUGAAAUUUUGAAGGAAUUUGAGUAUGAGAUGAACAUGUUUCUUUGAGACUAAAAAAACUGAUGCUAGUCAGAUAUUAAUAUGAGUUUUUAAGCACACUGGCCUGAGCUGAGAUGUCAUGAAGAGAGAAUGACUUUCAUGAUUUUGAUAGAUAGUGUUAUUCUUGGAGUUUUAUUACAGAUGAAAUUACUUUAAAUAUGAAUACCCUUAGAAUUGGUCUAACGUAAGUACCGUUGGCGAAAUGAGAAAGCAAAGCUCAGUUUUGUAGAGGCUUCGAGCUAAUGUAUAUACAAAAUUAAAUAACUAAUAAGCUUAGCUUAGAAGAUAAGUAGUAAAACACUUAAAUCUUAGAAUAAUCAAUAAACUGAGUUGAGGUUAAAAUUAGAGGAGAAGAAACAAAAAAAAAGAAAAAGAAAACAAGAAAAGCGUUGACAAGCUCAUAGUUCAGCCGAAACCAUUAUCGUAUAUAUAAACCCAAUGGGCUAAAAGACUGAAACAGAUUAAUCAGCCCAUACCUAACUAAAUUCUUUAGGCCCAUAAGACAAGAUACGACGUCGUUGGAUACCGUCGGUGUCGGAGUGGAGAAGCAAAAACAAGGAGGACGUUGAAACCAGAUUCACAUGGCCCCCUCUCCUUCCUCCCUACUUUCAAGUCCCAAGUGUGAAGCUGCCAUAAUUUUCGCUCUAAUUAAAAAAAAAGUAAAAUAAUAAUUAUAAUAUUUAGUUUACUUUUCUGCAAAUUGAAGGGACGCACGAUUUUUAGUGGCAAUCUCACAGCUCUCUCUUCUUCCUUUCCCUCCAGAUCUAAAUCUAAAAAUAUAAAAAAUCUCUACUUUUUCGGAAAAAUUGUUCAUCAUUCUUCAUUGUUCCCAGAAGAAGCAAAAAAAAAAAAACGAAAGUUCACAUUGUUGAGGUAAAGUUUCCAUUUUUAUAAAGAUUCCUUCUUAUUUAGUAUAACGGUUUGGUUAAGAUUUGUUAUACGUUCACUUAGAUCCGAUCAAGAUCGUGCCUUUAGUUGCAAGUAUUAGUAAUUUAAUUAAUGUAUCAUAUGAUUUGGUUAAAGAUCUGAGAUUUGGGUUUGGUUUUGAUUUUAGGAGGAAGAAGAGAUGUUUAGAUCAUCGCCAAGAAGAGGACAGAGAUCAAAGGGGUUCAAGGUGAAGCACUGUGUGCAGCUGACUCUGUUGAUUGGUGUUGGGAUAUGGUUGCUUUAUCAAGUGAAGCAUUCUCAUGAGAAGAAAGCUUUGUUUGAGACGAGCGCAAAGGCUGUUGUUGGUGGUGAGAAAGCUGUGAAGCUUGGGAGGAAAGAUCUUAACCCGGGCGUUGUCGUUGAGGAUGAAGCUGUGAAUGUUGAUAGGGGUUUUAAUGAUAGAGAGAUUGAGACAAGAGAUGAUAAGAACGAUGAGGUUGUGGAGGGAGGAGGUGAUGAGAAUAAUGAGAAGGAGAGUGCAGAAAGCAGCGAGGUUGAGGCUAAGAAUGACAAUGGUACCGGUACAGAAGAGACUGAGAUUGAGGAGAAGAAAGACAAUGGUACCGGUACAGAAGAAAGUGAAACUGAGGAGAAUAAAGACAAUGCCAAUACAGAAGAGAAUGAGGAGAGUAAAGAGAAGAGUGGUACGGAGGAGAGUGAGAUUGAGGAGAAGGACAAUGGUGGUGGUACAGAAGAAAAUGAAGAGAAGAGUGGAACUGAAGAAAGUGAAACUGAGGAGAAGAAAGACAAUGGUGGUACAGAAGAGAGGGAGAUUGAGGAGAAGAAAGACAAUGGGGGUAGUGAAGAGAUUGAGGAGAGCAAAGAGAAGGGUGGUGGAGAAGAGAAAAUAGAGGAAGUGAGUGAUGAGAAUGAAGGGAAGGAGAAGAAGGAUAGUGAAGAAGCAAGAGAGAAUAAUUACAAAGGAGAUGAUGCUUCUAGUGAGGUGGUUCAUGAGAAGGCAGAUGAGAAGGUGCAAGUGGAGGAAGACAAGACCGGAGAACCGGAAGACACUGUUAUCAAGAGUGUUUUGCCGACUGAUAAUGAGGGAAGCAGCAGUGAUGAGAAGAACACUGGUAAUGAUUCGGAUUCCUCUAGUGAGAUUAAAUCUGAGGGUGAAUCCAUGGAGAAGAAUGAGAAGGUGGAGAAGGAAGGGUUUAAUGAUUCUAAUGGCGACCUGACUGAGUCCAAAGAAUCUUCUGGGAAGGAGGAUGGGUCAGGGUCUAGUGUGAAGACAGAUGAGGAAGUAGAAUCUUCUGAAGUCUCAUCUCAAGACAAGGAAACGGAGACAAAGGAGAAAGAUGAGUCUUUGUCCCAAGAGGAACUUAAAGAUAGAGUAGCUGAAACUAAGGAGAAAGAAGAAUCUUUGUCCCAAGAGGAAAUUAAAAAUAGAUUAGCUGAGACUAAGGAGAAAGAUGAAUCUUUGCCUCAAGAGGAAACUAAAGACACAAAGGAGAAAGAAGAGUCUUCUUCUCAAGAGGAAACUAAAGAUGGAGAAACCGAGACCAAAGCUAAGGAAGAGUCUUCGUCUCAAGAGGAAACUAAAGAUGGAGAAACUGAGACAAAAGAGAAAGUAGAAGAGUCUUUGUCUCAACAGGAACCUAAAGACAAGGAAAUUGAGACAAAGGAGAAAGUAGAAGAGUCUAAAGAUGGAGAAACUGAGACAAAGGAGAAGGAAGAUUCUUCGUCUCAAGGUGAAUCUAAAGAUGGAGAAACUGAGACAAAGGAGAAGGAAAAGUCUUCUUCUCAAGAGGAAUCUAAAGACAAGGAAGCUGAGACAAAGGAGAAAGUAGAAGAGUCUUCGUCCCAAGAGAAAAGUGAUGAAGACAAGGAAAGUGAAAAAGUUGAGAAAGAAGAAGAGUCUUCGUCCCAAGAAGAAACUAAAGACAAAGAAACUGAGACAAAAGCAAAAGAAGAAGAGUCUUUGUCCCAAGAGAAGAAGGAAGACAAUGAAACCGAGAAAACUGUGAAGGAGGAUGAAUCUUCUUCUCAAGAGGAAACCAAAGACAAGGAUUCUGAAACAAAGUUGAAAGAAGAGUCUUCUUCCCAAGAGGAAACUGAGACAAAGGAG